AUCUCCUCUGAGGCCUGCUUUUCUUUCUCAAGUGCCUCUUGAAGGUUGGCUACCUCGGUAGCCUUUUUCUUGAGGCAGGCGGCCUCGGUCCGGCGACCUUCCUCCACCUGGAUAGCAUCCCUCCUCGCCUUGUUCAUCGCCUCGAUGUUGGUGAGGAGCUGGUGUCCGAUCUGCAAGGGCGGCCAGAAGGUCAGAGUGAAAGCUGAAAAGUUAUUUGAAUGAAGGAGCGAGGGGAAGGAGGAAAGUGAAUCUGCUUACCUCGAGAAAAGACCCCAGAGAGUUUCAAAUUCGCUGUUUAGGAUCAACGCGAACGAUCCUCUGGACGACUUCGGGCAGCACGCACCCGUCGACCAGUCGCUUUAUCAGAUCCC
rnacentral:lncRNA from 1 species